CCUACGGGAGGCAGCAGUGGGGAAUUUUGCGCAAUGGGGGAAACCCUGACGCAGCGACGCCGCGUGGAGGAUGACGGCCUUCGGGUUGUAAACUCCUGUCAGAGGGGACGAAAUCCCGCAAGGGACUGACGGUACCCUCAGAGGAAGCCCCGGCUAACUACGUGCCAGCAGCCGCGGUAAUACGUAGGGGGCAAGCGCUACUCGGAAUUACUGGGCGUAAAGGGUGAGUAGGCGGCUGGGCAAGUCAAGGAUGAAAUCCCGAGGCUCAACUUCGGAACUGUCCUUGAAACUGCUCAGCUUGAGGGUAGUUGAGGAGAGCGGAAUUCCCGGUGGAGCGGUGAAAUGCGUAGAUAUCGGGAGGAACACCUGAGGCGAAGGCGGCUCUCUAAGCUACUCCUGACGCUGAAUCACGAAAGCUAGGGGAGCAAACG
rnacentral:rRNA from 1 species